rnacentral:sRNA from 1 species
UUUUUUAUUUUUAGUAAAGACAAGGUCUUGCUAUGUUGCCCAGGCUGGUCUCUAACCCCUGGGCUCAAGCAGUCUUCUCAAUGUGGGCAUCCCAAAAGUGUUGGGAUUAUGGGUAUGAGCCAUUGCGCCUGGCAGUUGUGCAGUCUUCUAAAUUUUCUGUCAGUAUCCUGCCCAGGGCAGAGCUGAAACUGUGUUGUUAGGUCUGAUUCUGCCAAGGGUCGUUAAGCAACUCUUCCUUACCUCAGAGAUGACCUGAUCAGAGCCAUCAAGAAACUAAAGGCACUUGGCACUGGCUUCGGCAUCAUCCCUGUGGGCGGCACUUACCUCAUUCAGUCUGUUCCAGCUGAGCUCAAUAUGGAUCACACCGUGGUGCUACAGCUGGCAGAGAAGAAUGGCUACGUGACUGUCAGUGAGAUCAAAGCCAGUCUUAAAUGGGAGACCGAGCGAGCGCGGCAAGUGCUGGAACACCUGCUGAAGGAAGGGUUGGCGUGGCUGGACUUACAGGCCCCAGGGGAGGCCCACUACUGGCUGCCAGCUCUCUUCACUGACCUCUACUCCCAGGAGAUUACAGCUGAGGAGGCCAGAGAAGCCCUCCCCUGACUGCGUGUGGAAGGGCACACAGCAGCAGGCAGGGAGGAGGAGGAGGAGGUGGCAAAUAAACCUGGGCAAUUUUGUUUAUAAAAAAAAUAG